rnacentral:lncRNA from 1 species
GUCAUUCUAGAGGGUACCCUGAACCUAGGCCACCAGAGCACCUCUGCUAAGCCAGGAUGGGACAUCUAAAGUAUGUAUUUGUAGAUUCUCCAGUCUCUGAGUUCUUGAAAAGCCUCCAGACCCUAUUUAACGCUGUUAUUGAACCUCAAUUUUCAUGCAAAUCCUGGAUGGGAUGUGUGUUAAGUCAAACAGUUGGCUAAAGAGCAAAGUCGUUAAACUGAAAAAACUGAACAUUUGGUAAGUUCACUUUCAUCAGC